rnacentral:rRNA from 1 species
UACGAAGGGGGCUAGCGUUGCUCGGAAUCACUGGGCGUAAAGGGUGCGUAGGCGGAUUGCUAAGUCAGGGGUGAAAUCCUGGAGCUCAACUCCAGAACUGCCUUCGAUACUGGCGAUCUCGAGUUCGGGAGAGGUGAGUGGAACUGCGAGUGUAGAGGUGAAAUUCGUAGAUAUUCGCAAGAACACCAGUGGCGAAGGCGGCUCACUGGCCCGAUACUGACGCUGAGGUGCGAAAGCGUGGGGAGCAAACAGG